rnacentral:rRNA from 1 species
UACGUAGGCAGCGAGCGUUGUUCGGAGUUACUGGGCGUAAAGGGUGUGUAGGCGGUUGUUUAAGUUUGGUGUGAAAUCUCCCGGCUCAACUGGGAGGGUGCGCCGAAUACUGAAUGACUUGGAGUGCGGGAGAGGAGAGUGGAAUUCCUGGUGUAGCGGUGAAAUGCGUAGAUAUCAGGAGGAACACCGGCGGUGUAGACGGCUUACUGGACCAUGACUGACGCUGAGGCACGAAAGCGUGGGGAGCAAACAGG